UACGUAGGGGGCAAGCGUUGUCCGGAUUUAUUGGGCGUAAAGAGCGUGUAGGCGGCUUUACAGGUCCGUUGUGAAAACUCGAGGCUCAACCUCGAGACGCCGGUGGAAACCGUAAAGCUAGAGUCCGGAAGAGGAGAGUGGAAUCCUGGUGUAGCGGUGAAAUGCGCAGAUAUCAGGAGGAACACCCGUGGCGAAAGCGGCUCUCUGGGACGGUACUGACGCUGAGACGCGAAAGCGUGGGGAGCAAACAGG
rnacentral:rRNA from 1 species